rnacentral:tRNA from 1 species
GGGCCGUUAGCUCAGCGGGUAGAGCAGCGGACUUUUAAUCCGUUGGUCACUGGUUCGAAUCCAGUACGGCCCA